AAGUUUCCGAGUUGCAAGGACAAAAUGACAAGAUACACACUGCAGUUUUCAUGGAUUACUGUUGGACGAUAGAGACUUACAUACUGUAAUUCCUCACACAGUUACGUGUUGUAAUCACAUUUUUCUUGCUGCGUGGAGCUGAAUGUUUGGUCCAGUCGGCCUUGCUCUUUUCUUCGAGUAGAAUUUGUGGAACUGAAACAGUUUCCAGGAUGACAAUGUUGAUGAACGCUGUAAAUCCAUUUGUGCUAGUUGACACUCGUAGAUUUUCCGAGUCUGGCAGCAACUGGUCCCACUCUGCAGCAGAAGUUUUCCUCACUCAGCAGAAGAGGAGCACAGUGACUGCAGGAACACCAGCAGUUUCUCUGAGCUCUGCCUCCUGCUAUCCAUGCUCAGCCUCAUCAGGCUCAGGAAAGGCUAGAUCUCUGAAAAGAGUGAACAAGAUCAUUCACACAGGUGAUUUUGCAGACCCUUGCUAGUGACAUCCGAAGCUCUCCAUGGAGGCAAUGGAACCUGCUUUGCAAUGCUGUAUGCUAUUCCUGUGCCUGACCUCCUGCCCAGCUCCAUCUGCUCUGUGCUGCUUGACACGGCCUCCAUCAAAAAUAGACUGGGUGCAUUUAGCACAGUGGAGCAAAGAGCCGCGCCCAGUGGGAUCACCGGCAUUGACUACCACAAUCAGCUCCGGUAGCCGCAUUGGAGCUGGAACAUGGCGCACGUCUGGUGGGAUCAAGCCGUAAGAAAUUGCUGACCUUUUUACACUUGUCUUUUAUUUUAUCAAUGUGCUGCAGGUCAGCUUUUCAUCAAACAAUUCUCCAAGAAACCUAAUCACACUGACCUGCUCCAGUGUUUGGCCAUAUAGUUUCAAGGAUAUAGCUUUAUGACGUCUAGAAAAACAUAUCACUUGAGUCUUGGCUACAGAUAAAACUCCACUUAUUUGCCCACUGCACAACCAUCUCAACUGCAGCCUGUAGCUUCUUCUGCAUAUAUCUUAGAUUCCGCCCCCUUAUCAUCCGCAUAUAACAGUUUCCCUAUACCUUCCUCAUCUUGCUCAAAAAUAUCAUUAAUCAUGUUAAGUAGUACUGGACUGCAAACACUGCCCUGCAGGGUUCCAUUCUCCAUUCUUCCAUUCUAUUCUGCAUUUACCCUUACUUCUAUUGUCCUGCCAUAUAGAAAGUCCAACACCCAGUUAUAUAACAUGCCACCCACCUCUAUCUUACUUAAUUUGAUCCUUCCACAACAUAUCAUAUGCUUUUUCUACAUUGAAAAAGACGGAAACCACUAUUUCCUUAUUUGUUUGGGCUUUCUUAAUUUCUGACUCUAGGCAUAAGAUAAAGUCCAUUGUAUUUCUCCCUUUACAAAACCUACUUUGAAAAGGAGGAAACAAGUCUCUACUUUCUAGAAAAUAUGUUAGUCUCUGUUACCAUUCGCUCCAUAGUAUUCCCUAAUUGUGAUGUAAGUCCUAUUGGUCUAUAGUUAGAGGGGCCUGAUGGGUCUUUACCGGGUUUCAAAAUUGGAACAAUGAUUGACUGUUUCCAUGCAACUGGAAUUUUUUUGUGUCUCUCUGUGACUUUAUUAAACAACCUUAAUACUA